rfam:Triticum aestivum genome assembly, contig: Triticum_aestivum_CS42_TGACv1_scaffold_100726_2AL
CAACUACUCCCUCUGUCCCAAAUUUCUUGUCUUAGAUUUGUCUAGAUACGGAUGUAUCUAAUACUAAAAUGUGACUUGAUACAUCCAUAUCUAGACAAAUCUAAGACAAGAAUUUUGGGAUGGAGGGAGUACUUU